rnacentral:rRNA from 1 species
CCUACGGGGGGCAGCAGUGAGGAAUAUUGGUCAAUGGACGAGAGUCUGAACCAGCCAAGUAGCGUGAAGGAUGACUGCCCUAUGGGUUGUAACCUUCUUUUAUAAAGGAAUAAAACGAGGCACGUGUGCCUUUUUGCAUGUACUUUAUGAAUAAGGAUCGGCUAACUCCGUGCCAGCAGCCGCGGUAAUACGGAGGAUCCGAGCGUUAUCCGGAUUUAUUGGGUUUAAGGGGAGCGUAGAUGGGUUGUUAAGUCAGUUGUGAAAGUUUGCGGCUCAACCGUAAAAUUGCAAUUGAUACUGGCAGUCUUGAGUACAGUUGAGGUAGGCGGAAUUCGUGGUGUAGCGGUGAAAUGCUUAGAUAUCACGAAGAACCUCGAUUGCGAAGGCAGCUUACUAAACUGUGACUGACAUUGAUGCUCGAAAGUGUGGGUAUCAAACAGGAUUAGAUACCCUAGUAGUC